GUGCUGCUCCAUCUAUCGGUUGCAGCUACAGCAUGAGCCCCUCUUUAGAUAGAUGGAUGGAAUUAUAUACUACGAAGUCUUUCUGUGAGGAAGCUUUUGUCAGAAUGUUUCUUUUACAAGAAAACAAAGUUGCACUGAUUUGACAAGGACGGGGGCAGUGGAAGGAGCGUGGCAUGGGUACAGUCAGGCUUCUCAAACGGACAACCAAGGUCCGCCUUGUCAUGCGACAUGCCAAGAGCCUCAGGAUCUGCGGCAAGCACCUUGGCUGGCAGUCACCUGCAGGCUAAUGUGACGAGGUGAUGAGAUACACGAGGGGUGGGAGAAGGACUGCAGGAGGACAUGCCCUGUUUUAGAUCCACCCGAUCAUUCCAAGUUUUUGCAAGGAGUUUGGAUUACCCUGAAGACUUCUUUUAGGAUCUUGAAUUACUCUGAGCAAUUCGCACAAGAGUUGAGAGUAUAGUCUGAACACUAGCCAUAGUGUGCCACGACGACCACUUGCAUACAGGAGCCUCGCGGCGCGGUCAUCUUUCCUUUCUCCUCCUCCAGCCCCCUUCCUUUAGCUCUCAUUGUAGCUUUUAUGUGCAAGAGAUUUGAUCAUGGGCAUAAGCAAACAGUUUCACAUUUCAUUGGUGCACGCGCAUGAAAAAUGAACUUGGAAGGAUUUCUUUUCUAAGUGUGAGUCUGGUUUCAUGGAAAUGUGCACUCCACAAGUGUGAUUCGGAGGAGACUGGAUCGAGCUCACGAGAGGGUCAGUAUUAAUUGUUCAGGUUGGCUUCACUGUUUUUUCCGCUCGACUUGUAUGUUGCUUUUUAUCUGUAUAUAAUGAACCUAGAAUAUAGUUAUGUAUUUUGUAA